ACGUAGGGGGCAAGCGUUGUCCGGAAUUAUUGGGCGUAAAGCGCGCGCAGGCGGCCUUGUAAGUCUGUUGUUUAAACUCGGGGCUCAACCCCGAGUCGCAAUGGAAACUGCAAAGCUUGAGUACAGAAGAGGAAAGUGGAAUUCCACGUGUAGCGGUGAAAUGCGUAGAGAUGUGGAGGAACACCAGUGGCGAAGGCGACUUUCUGGGCUGUAACUGACGCUGAGGCGCGAAAGCGUGGGGAGCAAACAGGA
rnacentral:rRNA from 1 species